rnacentral:lncRNA from 1 species
ACCAUCACAAAUGCUCAGACAGAGCAGAAGGUUCCCAACAGGCUGCGCCUGCGCUGGACCACCCCCUUUCCUCCUUCCUUCAGCUGCCCCUCUUUCUGGAUGGGUAAAAGCACUUCCAUGUUUUCAGAGGCGUGGAGGGAGCCCGAGAAGAGCAGAUGUUGACACCACCAUCACUGCCUGCAGCAGUGAGACCAGGGGCACAGUUUUUGUUGAAAGGGUCGACCAGGAAGCACUUCCUUGACUCUGUCCUAAAGCCUCUGGAGAGCCCUUAAAUUUGUGGUCCUUGAAGCUAUUGUAAAGGUAUUAUUCAGGAACAAGAUGGGCAAAACAUGAAUAGGACAAGCUUUCUGCUCUCCAGGGACUCCCUUGAAGAUGUGUCACAACCCCAAGCCAGUAUGUGUUAACCUUCAGGAUGACACCACCCUCGACACUCACUUCAUGAUGGCCUGCACAUCUGACCUUGUGCAGGAGCCUGCAGCGUGGGAUUGAGCAGCCUCCUGCUCCAGCCAGCUGACUGCCCCUCAGAGGGGACUGAGGUGACAAAACAGGAUCCCAUCAUUUGGUAAACAGGACUCAAGCAUGAAGUCUGAGGGGUGUGGGGAGGUGCAGGGUGGGUAGCAAAUGGCUGUGAAAAGCAAGAGACUUUCCACGGGCAAAGCUAAGUCUAGAUGUACCCAGAUUAGCGACUUUUCCUUAAAAGGUUUUUCCAGCCAGGAGCAAGGGACUGGGUGAAUCAUCCCUAAGACGGGUGACAGGAGGCAGGAAUAAAGCAUGAAUAAAGCAUCAGGAAGGGACUAGGAUUUAAAACUGGCCCCUCAAUGCUUCUACACUGCUGGUGAGAAUGUAAGUUAGUUCAGCCACUGUGGAAAGCUGUCUGGAGAGUUCUCAAAUAACUUAAACUAGAACUACCAUUUGACCUAGCAAUCCCAUUUACUGGGUAUAUGCCCAAAGGAAUACAAAAUAUUCUACCAUAAAGACACACACAGGCAUAUAUUCAUCACAGCACUGUUUACAAUAGCAAAGACCUAGAUGCCCAUCGAUGGUGGAUUGCAUAAAGAAAAUGUGGUGCAUAUACAACAUGGAAUACUGUGCAGCCACAGAAACGAAUGAAAUCAUGUCCAUUACAGCAACAUGGAUAGAGCUGGAGGCCAUUACCCUAAACAAAUUAACGCAGGAACAGAAAACUAAAUACUGCAUGUUCUUACUUAUAAGUGGGGGCUCAACAUUGAGUAGACAUGGACAUAAAGAUGGGAGCAGAGGACACUGGGGACUCCUGGUGGGGGAGGAUGGGAGGAGGGUGAAGACAGAAAAACUACCUAUUGGGUAUUACGCUGAUUACCUGGGUGACAAAAUUAUUUGUAUACCAAAACCCCAUGAUAUGCAAUUUACUCAUGUAACAAACCUGCACACCUACCCCUUGAACCUAAAAUAAAAGUUGGAAAUAAAAAAAAAACUGGCUCCUCUAUCUGGGCUCCUCUCCCUUCUUAAGUCCUAGGAGAGUUGGCCAA